rnacentral:rRNA from 1 species
UACGAAGGGGGCGAGCGUUGUUCGGAUUUACUGGGCGUAAAGCGUGCGUAGGCGGUUCUCCAAGUCCGUUGUGAAAGCCCCGGGCUCAACCUGGGAAUGGCAGUGGAAACUAGGGGACUGGAAUCUGGCAGAGGGGGGUGGAAUGCCGCGUGUAGCAGUGAAAUGCGUAGAGAUGCGGCGGAACACCGAUGGCGAAGGCAGCCCCCUGGGCUGAGAUUGACGCUCAGGCACGAAAGCGUGGGGAGCAAACAGG